rnacentral:rRNA from 1 species
CAGCAGCCACGGUAAUACGGAGGGUGCAAGCGUUAAUCGGAAUUACUGGGCGUAAAGCGUGCGUAGGCGGUUCGUUAAGUCUGUUGUGAAAGCCCCGGGCUCAACCUGGGAAUGGCAAUGGAUACUGGCGAGCUAGAGUGUGUCAGAGGAUGGUGGAAUUCCCGGUGUAGCGGUGAAAUGCGUAGAGAUCGGGAGGAACAUCAGUGGCGAAGGCGGCCAUCUGGGACAACACUGACGCUCAUGCACGAAAGCGUGGGGAGCAAACAGGAUUAGAUACCCCGGUAGUCCCUGUCUCUUAUAC